AUUGAACGCUGGCGGCAGGCCUAAAACAUGCAAGUCGAACGUGUCGCGGACGGGUGAGUAAUGUCUGGGACACUGCCCGAUGGAGGGGGUUAACUACUGGAAACGGUAGAUACAACCGCCUAACCUCGGAUGUGCCCAGAUGGGAUUAGCUAGUAGGUGGGGUAACGGCGCACCUUGGCGACGAUCCCUAGCUGGUCUGAGAGGUUGACCGGCCACCCGGGAACUGAGCAACGGGCAGGACUCCUACGGGAGGAAGCAGUGGGGAAUAUUGGACAAGGGGCGAAAGCUGGAUGCAGCCCUGCCGCGGGUAGGAAGAAGGUCUUCGGUCUGUAAAGUAUGUUCAGCGAGGAGGCGUUACCCGCAGAAGAAGCACCGGCUAACUCCGUGCCAGCCGCCGCGGUAAUUC
rnacentral:rRNA from 1 species